UGACCGGUAGCUCAGAGGGUCAGAGCGGCUAUUUCACACGUAGCGGGUCGCAGGUUCGAGUCCUGUCCGGUCAA
rnacentral:tRNA from 1 species